GGUUUCCGUAGGUGAACCUGCGGAAGGAUCAUUAUCGUACAACCGAGGCACGAAGGGCUGUCGCUGACUUUUUUGUCGUGCACGCCCGAGUGCUCUCAAACAAUCCAUCUCACCCUAUGUGCACCACCGCGUGGGUCCCCCUUUUGGCUCGUUCCGAGGGGGGCUUGCGUUUUCACACAAACUUAAAUACAGUGUAGAAUGUCUUUUGCGAUAACACGCAAUUAAUACAACUUUCAACAACGGAUCUCUUGGCUCUCGCAUCGAUGAAGAACGCAGCGAAAUGCGAUACGUAAUGUGAAUUGCAGAAUUCAGUGAAUCAUCGAAUCUUUGAACGCACCUUGCGCCCCUUGGCAUUCCGAGGGGCACACCCGUUUGAGUGUCGUGAAAUUCUCAAAAGCCUUUCUUUUGAAAGGAUUUUGGACAUGGAGGCUUUUGCUGGCUUCACCUCGAAGCCAGCUCCUCUUAAACGAAUUAGUGGGGUCUGCUUUGCCGAUCCUCGACGUGAUAAGAUGUUUCUACGUCUGGGGUUCGGUGAUGUCUUUUGGGCACCUGCUUCUAAUCGUCUCAUCGACAAUGAUGGCGUUCCGGUCACCGCCGUUUCAUCGGUCGGUCGGCUUGACCCACCAAAAAAACUUUGACCUCAAAUCGGGUGAGACUACCC
rnacentral:rRNA from 1 species